UGCUGAUAUUUUGGAUUUUUAGCCUGUUGUAUAUAAACUUCAUUGAAGAUUUGAAAUUGUUCUUAGGCAAAAAUAUUGGUUGCAUAUUAAUUACAUUGGAAAGGCAAAAUCUUUAUACAGUCAUCUCUCAUUAUCUGCUGAGGAUUGGUUCUGAGACCCCCUCAGAUACCAAAUCCAUGGAUGCUCAAGUCCUUAUGUAAAAUGGCAUAGUAUUUGCAUAUAACCUAUGCACAUCCUCCUGUAUACUUUAAAUCAUCUCUAGGUUACUUGUAAUACUUAAUACAAUGUAAUUAUUUGUAAAUACAAUGUAAAUAAUAUGUGAAUAGUUGUCAGUGCAUAGCAAAUUCAAGUUUUGCUUUUGAGAACUUUCUGGGAAAAUUUAUAUAUAUAUAUAUACAUAUUUGAUCUAUUGUUUAUACCUGUGAAUGCAGAACCAAUGGAUACAGGUUGCUGACUAUACCAGCUUUUUGUUGAUUCUUAAUGUAGAUGGAAUAUUUUCAGCAUUUUAAGGAUCAACUCUGAAGUGAUCAGUUUUAAAUAUUAGAAAUUAAUUUAAAAGCUUGAAUUACCUUCUCAAAAUCUGUGAGAUAUUGUAUAGUAACUUGGCCCUUCUUUUUCAGUUUGCAAGAAAUUUAACUUUAGAUUUAGGUGAAGGAUAGAGUUCUUUAAGCUGACUAAUGAUAUAAGGAGAGAGACUUGUGAAGUGUACAGGAAUUCCUACAAGUUCAAAGGACUUUAAUGACACAAUCUCUUCCAAAUAAGAACUUAAUGCAGAAUGUAGUUGUUUGAGGAACUAAGUAAUUUCACUAGGGCAGCUUGUAAUAAAAUGUAUUCUAUUUCAGAAUAUAAAAGUAAUUUUCCUCCAUAAGAGUUUUUUUUCUUUAGUUUGCUUCAAGGUAUUUGAUGUUGAUGGUGAUGGAGUUCUCUGUAGGGUUGAACUGAGAGACACGUGGUUGCACAGAGGUCUGGAAGGACAACUGCACCGAUGAUACCCUGAAUGGCCAUCUUAACUCUAGAAGAAUAUCAGAUCUGGAGUGUGAAAAAUGUUCUUGCCAAUGAGUUUUUGAAUCUACUUUUCUAGCUAUGUUUAAGGCAGAGCCAUGUGAAGAUGACACCAGUGGCAGAGCCCAGAGGUGGGGAAGGAUGACUUCUGUUGAUGUCACUGAGCACCAGGUACAGACCUGCCUGAAGCUAUCUCCCUGUGGACGUCUCAGUUAGUUAAGCUGUAUGCUGCAUGAGGAUGGAGAUCUGACUGCUUCACUACCUGCUGUGCCCGGUAUCUGGAACCAGCCCAGCACACAGUAGGACCUCAGCGAAUGUGUGACGAAUGUGUGAUCACUGUAGGCCACAGACAAAGUCUUCCCAGCAGUCAUGGUUUUCUGAGGCCUCAUCCUGUCAUUGGAAGUAAGAGACCACCCUUCAGAAAGUGUCCUGAACCAAGGUCUGGACGUUAGGAAUCUUGGACCCGUUCAUGGAGCAGAGAAUUGAGUAAUUUCCUUAAGUCCACGUUGACACUCCGAAUGUUUCUGCCAGUAUCAGUGAGGUUCAAUAAAUCUCAUGAAUGCCUUUAGAGCCUGAUAUCCUCUACAGAUGUCUCCAUGCCAGUAUUCUCCACUGUAGAACAGCAACUCUGAUCAAUGUGUUCACAUCUAUCCUCAAUCCAUGCAGGCAGCUUUUCUGCCAGCUUCUCUUUUUGUCUCCGAUAAAGUCGACUUUAAGAGGACAGGGAAAGUAUGAAAGUACCUCGGAGCCUCACCAAUAAGCUGAUGACAGGCAGAUCUUCCACGGUCUGCCCUUUCAGGUUCUGGAAACUGACCCGUGAAAUCAGGUAUUUGGAAAGGAGCAGUAUCUCGAACAUACACAGCUUCCUGAAACAAAGAAAUAAGCCAAGCUCCACAGAGGGCGGCAGCCCUUCCAUCACACUGAUCCACCCACAGAACUCUGCCCAGUUACCUAGGAUCCAUCAGCCACAACAAGCAUCGCGGUACACACCAACAUUCCACCUGGAAUCCGACCGUUAACUGCCAUCCACAAUGGUUGCUGCAUCUUGUCAGUGUUGGGGGAGGGGCUGCAUCAGACGAGAUGUUCCUAAGGUAAAUAUGAUUCUAUCCACUAGGUCCCAUGGGCCUUUUUCCUUCCGUCUUUCCUUUUACUCAGAUCUGUAUGCACAGUACAAACGGAGGGAAGUGUGUCAAUUUUUAGUAUAUGGUUUCACAAGUCUUUUU